rnacentral:lncRNA from 1 species
GAGCAGCUCAGGCUCCUCCAGGGAGGGUGAAGCAGUACCUGUCAGGUCUGAUAUAAAUAGGAGGACCUUCACUGCUGCACUGAGAGUCAGUCAUCGUCAUGGACAACUUCACCAGGCUCACGGUCCUCCUUUUGUUCCUGUGGACUGUGGAAAGGCAGACUGUAACCACACAGGGACUGACUACGACUGCAAAGACAAUGUCUACAACCUCAAACGGACCUACGUCAGCCCCACAUAUCGAGACUGCAUUCGCCAACUUGCUUGUGCGCGUCAACACCUCGCCCUACGUGAGCGAACGGUUUGUGGAGGCAGCACUCGAGAACGCCACAACCCAACUCCAGAUGUAUCUUCAUAGUAAUUACAGUACCCUCCGUUCAAUAAGAAUCAUCAAGAUCAA